rnacentral:rRNA from 1 species
GCCUAAAGCGUCCGUAGCCUGAUCUAUAAGUUUCCGGUUAAAUCCAUAUGCUCAACAUAUGGGCUGCCGGAAAAACUGUAGAUCUAGGGAGUGGGAGAGGUAGACGGUACUCGGUAGGAAGGGGUAAAAUCCUUUGAUCUAUUGAUGACCACCAGUGGCGAAGGCGGUCUACCAGAACAUGCUCGACGGUGAGGGAUGAAAGCUGGGGGAGCAAACCGGAUUAGAUACCCGGGUAGUCCCAGCUGUAAACGAUGCAAACUCGGUGAUGCAUUGGCUUGUGGCCAGUGUAGUGCCGCAGGGAAGCCGUUAAGUUUGCCGCCUGGGAAGUACGUACGCAAGUAUGAAACUUAAAGGAAUUGGCGGGGGAGCACCACAAGGGGUGAAGCCUGCGGUUCAAUUGGAGUCAACGCCAGAAAUCUUACCCGGAGAGACAGCAGAAUGAAGGUCAAGCUGAAGACUUUACCAGACAAGCUGAGAGGUGGUGCAUGGCCGUCGCCAGCUCGUGCCGUGAGAUGUCCUGUUAAGUCAGGUAACGAGCGAGACCCUUGCCUCUAGUUGCUACCAUUACUCUCAGGAGUAGUGGGGCGAAUUAGCGGGACCGCCGCAGUUAAUGCGGAGGAAGGAAGGGGCCACGGCAGGUCAGUAUGCCCCGAA